rnacentral:rRNA from 1 species
CACAAGCGGUGGAGCAUGUGGUUUAAUUCGAUGCAACGCGAAGAACCUUACCUGGGCUUGACAUCCCGGGAAUCCCUUGGAACAAGGGAGUGCCCUUCGGGGAACCUGGAGACAGGUGCUGCAUGGCUGUCGUCAGCUCGUGUCGUGAGAUGUAGGGUUAAGUCCCGCAACGAGCGCAACCCUUGUCUUUAAUUGCCAUCAUUGAGUUGGGCACUUUAAAGAGACUGCCGGUGAUAAACUGGAGGAAGGUGGGGAUGACGUCAAAUCAUCAUGCCCCUUAUGACCUGGGCUACAAACGUGAUACAAUGGCUGAAACAAAGGGCAGCGAAGGAGCGAUCUGGAGCGAAACCCAAAAAAGCAGUCUCAGUUCGGAUUGAAGUCUGCAACUCGACUUCAUGAAGUCGGAAUCGCUAGUAAUCGCGGAUCAGAACGCCGCGGUGAAUACGUUCUCGGGGUUU